GCCCCGAAGCGGGGGUACCGCGCGCCUGUCCGGCGCCCGGUUGAGACACACCCUUCGAACCUGAUGCGGUUGAUACCGCCGUAGGGAAGCUUCGCGUGGCCACGG
rnacentral:ncRNA from 2 species